rnacentral:snRNA from 1 species
GUGCUGGCUUGGGUAGCGCACAUACUAAAAUUGGAAUGAUACAGAGAAGAUGAGCAUGGCCCCUGCGCAAGGAUGA